rnacentral:rRNA from 1 species
UACGAAGGGGGCUAGCGUUGCUCGGAAUCACUGGGCGUAAAGCGCACGUAGGCGGAUUGUUAAGUCAGGGGUGAAAUCCUGGAGCUCAACUCCAGAACUGCCUUUGAUACUGGCGAUCUUGAGUCCGGGGAGAGGUGAGUGGAACUGCGAGUGUAGAGGUGAAAUUCGUAGAUAUUCGCAAGAACACCAGUGGCGAAGGCGGCUCACUGGCCCGGUACUGACGCUGAGGUGCGAAAGCGUGGGGAGCAAACAGG